AGAGGAGAGGAGAGGAGAGGAGAGGAGAGGUGGAAGAGAGGAGAGGAGGAAGAGAGCAGGAAGGAGUGCGCUCACCUUGGGAGGAGCAAGUCAAGAUGAGGAGUAAACUGAUGUAGAAGUGGCUCCACACACAGACGCACACACACACACACACACAAACACGCUGUCUCUAUACAGCAUGGAGGAGAUGUGCAAGCUGGAUUAGUGAUGGAUGCAGUCUGUACUGUGAGACCGGAGGAGGAAGUAAGUUUGUUCAGAUGGACGUGGAGACUAACAGAGGGCAAUAGGAGUGGGAGCCGGAGUGAGGAUUCUCAGACAGAGGCGCUGAAUGGGCUGCAGGUCUGUGCGCUUUUAACACCAGCUAAAGAGGAAUGUUUGGCUAUAUUGUUAUGCAGCUAUGAAGAAUGUAUCAAGCCAGUAGUUCACAGAGCAGAAGCAGAGGCUAUCAUCAGGCCAGUGAUGUGAUCUUCCUUCAGGCGUAUGGUUUGGGACAAAAAAACUGCCGUUUCAUCGCAGAGGCAGUUUGCAAUGUUUGAAGGUCUUCUACCAAUGCGUCCAACUUGUCUUCAUCCUCCAAGAGGAUUUUUUAUGAGAAGAGAUCACAAGCUGAUGAGAAUUUGACAUUACAGUAAAAAAACAAAAAAAAAGCACUGACCUCAGUGCUGACUCACAAUGUAGGUUUGUAUUUCAUACAUCCUCUCUUUCUCUCUCUCUCUCUCUCUCUCUCUCUCUCCCUCACUCUCUCUCUCUCACACACACAUACACACGCACACACACACACACACACACACACACUGAGGUGGCGGGGGCCCAAGGACACGUGUUGUUCUCCUGCCUUGCAACAAUUCACUUCCCAGCUGUGAGACUCCAGUGGACGCGGUGUGAGGAUAUUCACCUCCUCCAUCCUGAAGAGAGUGCAGCCAUGGCACUGAAUGCUUCAUGAAUGCAGACGAGGGAGAACAGGAG